rnacentral:other from 1 species
UCAUUCCUGGGGUGUUCGAUACCCUGCUAUUUUGAACCUACAUUACAUUUCAUGGGAUUCCUAAAUCUCUGUUUGGAUGUCAAGCCUCCUUUGAGUGGAAGGCAGAAGAAUAGGUGCGGAUACCCACCUAGCUUAGCUAGGCGUCAAAAUCGCAGGAAACGGCAUUUUGGGACUUAC